UCCGAGUUGACCCCGGCAGUCUCCUACGAGUCCCCGGCGUUGCCCGCUGGCAACAUAGGACAAGGGUUGCGCUCGUUGCGGGACUUAACCCAACAUCUCACGACACGAGCUGACGACAACCAUGCACCACCUGACACUUUGUCCCCCGAAGGGGAAAGCCCUAUCUCUAGGGUGGUCAAAGGAUGUCAAGACCUGGUAAGGUUCUUCGCGUUGCUUCGAAUUAAACCACAUGCUCCACCGCUUGUGCGGGCCCCCGUCAAUUCCUUUGAGUUUCAGCCUUGCGGCCGUACUCCCCAGGCGGGGUGCUUAACGCGUUAGCCGCGACGCUGAAAGGGUCGCUCCCCCCAGCAUCUAGCACCCAUCGUUUACGGCGUGGACUAC
rnacentral:misc_RNA from 1 species